rnacentral:rRNA from 1 species
UACGUAGGGGGCAAGCGUUGUCCGGAUUUAUUGGGCGUAAAGAGCGUGUAGGCGGCUUUACAGGUCCGUUGUGAAAACUCGAGGCUCAACCUCGAGACGUCGGUUGAAACCACCUGGCUAGAGUCCGGAAGAGGAGAGUGGAAUUCCCGGUGUAGCGGUGAAAUGCGCAGAUAUCGGGAGGAACACCAAUGGCGAAGGCAGCUCGCUGGGACGUGACUGACGCUGAGACGCGAAAGCAUGGGGAGCGAACAGG